UGUUUUGGUGCGGAAACAUGUCUUUCACUUCCAUUGUUCCUACAUUAUUUUGCUGUCACUUUAAUUGCUUCUAAUUUUACUCUUUAUUUUCUUGCUUUCCUUCUUCUUCAUGCUUUCUUCUUCUAUGGAUUUUCCCUAUUCUUCCUUUUGCUGUUUUUUUUCUUUUUCGUUCAUGAAAAACUGCGAGCUCCAGUCCACGGUUCUUUCUAUAUGUUUAUUAUUGGCUGUUACAUAUAAGUAAUUUUUUUAUUUUAAUGUAAGAUUUGAAUUUGUGUUUUAAGAAUUCAAUUUGACCAAACAACUAAAAGGCACAUAGGAUUUUCUGAAGUACAGGAGAAAACAGGUGAAGGCUGCAAAGAACCUGCUUCAUAGUGAUAUGUGGGCUACUCAUAUAAAGAGGUAAUGGAGGAAUUUUUUACUUUCUAAAAAAACUAUUAAGACCCUUUUUGGGUUAUUUCAAUUUUUCACGUUGAUUAUCAUGAUUUUGGUUAAUUGUAUUUCAAUUUUAAUAGUAGUGUAAGGUUUCAGGAUAAUAACCUUACAAAAAUGUUUCUUUUGAUUUUCUUUUGGCUUAAAGUAGGCGUCAAUUUGGUUUUACUUUCAUCAUGUCCAGUUCAUAUCUUCUUCUUGCGUGCUUAUAAAUAUUUUUUCUUCCUUCUAUUUCUCUAAUGUUGGUAAUUAGGUAACUUAAGCAAGUAACUGUUUGUGUUAUGUGAUGAAAAUAACUUGAAAGUAAAUGGACUCAAACUACUUCAUAAAAGCUCUUUUGGUAGGAUAUACAAGAUUACAGCCUCUCUUGGUUUAUGGACAUCUUUACCUAAAAGGCCAAAAGAGGAAUAAAUGCACUAGCAUAAUUCAUCGACAUUGUUACCCCAUAAAGACUUGACUUCCUCUUCACUGUACGCCACAAACUUUGCAACGAUCAUGCAAUGAGAAUUUUCAACUUUUCUGUUGAGGCUUUAAAUGCAGCUACCCAAUUAAAUUUCCUAUUGUUUGUUGAAGAAGAGGAAAAUAAUAUAAUUCAAGAUUAAAUUUCUACAGCAAAAGAGAAGUGCCAAUUCUGUUCAACUUAUGUUGCCAAUGUUCUAGCUAUUGUAAGUUGAUAGUAUCUACCUUUGUAGGAGUGAUGAAACAACAAGAUAUAUUUCAGCUUCUCACUUCCUAUAAAACUUUUCAUGGAACCUAGACUGUAGUUAUAAACUUUUUUUAGGUUGAAUGUAGCUAUGUUAGUUGAGCUCUUUUAAGUGGCAAUAAGAAACUUCCACAUGAGAACACUUAUGCUAUUAAGACUAGUUUAAUUGAUUUUUUUUAAUUGCCUUAUUUUUCAUUAUUUGUAUUGAACAUACAAAGUUUAUUCUAUUUGUUCAGUCUAUAUAUUAUAGGACCAAAUAAUGAACCUACAAUUUUGAAGGAGUACAAGUUGUUUGAUCAUUAUGAAUUAGGUGCUUUAUACCUAUAUGGGACUGUUGAUCCCCUGCUUUGGCAUUAUGAAAUUAAACAUGCCUAUAUCGAGAUGCGGAAAGAACUAAUAGCACAUGAAUAGUUAUGAGACAAUGGAAGAAAGACUUAAUAGUAUGUUAAAUUGAUGUAUGUAAGAAUAUAUGAUUUGUGGUUUAUGUUGAUUGUUUCCCGUAGAUCUACUUGGAGAAUAAUUUUUCUGCUAUUUCUGUUCGGCUCACUAUACGUGAUUCAUUUAUCAUAGAAUUAUAAAUUGAUUUAUUAAUCAGCAUUGUGAAAAAAAAAACCAGCCAAUUCUUUCUUGACUGAUGCUUAAGUUGCUGGGGUGGAUAAGAAAAAAACACAGUGGGAGUUUCCACCUUUCCGUUUGAGACUGUGAUUGCACAUCCGCUCACUUUUGUUUCAUGUUGUUUGCUGGAGAAGACGUGAACAUUACUAGAUCAAAAUCUUAUUUAUGCAUAUGCAGAAGGUGAGUGUAACGUUGUACUACUGAUGUUACAACUAUUGGUGCUGCUUUCACUUAUCAGUUUCUGCCUUUUGUUUAAGUGAUGAGAUAACUGCAUUUUAUUGUACUUUUAACUUUACACUUUCUAUACAAACUUUCAUGGUGCUUAGUUGGAUAUAACAAUGUUAAUUGCAAUUUUAUGUGUAUUCCCAAGUUAAUGUAAAACGAAAGGCAUACCCUAAGAUAAAUUGGGUGAAAUAUUCGUACAAAACCAAAAAGAGGUAUAAUGUUUGGUUUGGUUAUAGCACAUGCAGCGUGCGAAGUGCCAACUGAUUCCCUCAACUUGCAAACUGUAGGUCCUUCAUUUUUUCAAUGACAUGAGAGGAGAUAAAGGUGUUGUUGCUUUCUCUAAACUUAUGAAGCCCUCUCCAAUGUUUGAGGACUUAAGGUCUUAUCUACAAUGAUUGUAAGGUGUAUACUCUCUUUCACAAGCAGUUGGAGUACGUACCACCUUAAUGAAGCUUGAUUGGCAUGACAAGAUGUUCACUGAUGAAGCUGGAAUUGUGUUGAAAAAGUCGUAUCAAGUAUGAAGUAGAUCUUUGCAAUAAGCUGGGAUGAUCCUUUUUGAAACAAUAAUUGGUACUUGAAUUAUAUAAGGUAAGCUAAUUUAUUUUGUUAUUGUGUUACAAUUACUAAUUUUCAUGGUGUGUUUAUGUGAAAUCCCUGUAAAAUUAUGUUGUUAGAUUGUAAAUUUCCUAUUGAAAUUAAGGUGCAUGUCAUUACAUAUACUCCACAUUCUCACUUGCUCCUGCACCAAUAGGAAAGGACAGUAUAUGAAUUUUUCGCCUAGGAAUCUUUCUUUAUGAGGUGCUUUAUAAUGUCUUAAGCAAGUCACAUGACCUUCCUUUUUAAACCAAAAUCAAAUGGAAAAAUCACUUGGAUCGUUAGUUUUGCUAUUCAUCUAUUACUAACAGGAUUCUGACUAAUUAGUAACUUUUUUUCAUUUUUAUGUGUAUCUUCUUCGCUGACUAUGAACAAAAUUAUGAACUAUCUGAAUAUGUUUUUUUCCUUGAGAAAGACUACUUUAUCAUCAACAUCUGUAUAUCAACAAGAACCUUUAGUGGUAUUUUACAUAGGAGUUACAUUGACAAUACAUAGCACUAUUCACCAUAGAUCUAUAUUUGUAUUAUAGUUAGACUACCCUUUUCUAAUAGUCUUCUAAAACUUGCACUUAUUAAUGAUUCAUAUAUUGUUGGUGAAAUAUUUCAGACUGUACAAAAUUUCGCCUACCAACAGAAUAUGACAAAUAAAAACGACAAAUGUUGUUAUAAGCUUCUCACCUCAAGAACCAUCUCCACAAUCAACAGCAAAAGCUUAAAUGUAAAUGUGAGGUUUCCUUCAAUGUCAUUUCAUUUUGUAUGGAUAAAAUUGCAUAAUGAUUGUCUGGUAUGGGCGAACCCAGAGAAGAGGUGACACCUUAUGCAAUAGAUGUUACCUUUGCCUUUUUUUGCACUGUCCAUUUUUAUCUCAGCUAUCUGGUGUGGUUUUUGAGUGAGUUCAAAUUUAAUUUAGAUGAAUUUGCUUCAUAAUUGCUAUUUUUGCUUCAAAGUGCUAUUUCUUGGUGAAGAUCAAGCAACAAACAACAAAUCAUUUAUUAUGUUUAGUAAUAUAGAGAAGACUUUCCAUAAAAUUCUCAUCUUUGGUAGCUAUCUAUUCUUCAUUGUCAUUUUAUUAAUUAGUACCAGGUACUGCUCACCUGCAAUUCUCAUUUGCUUUUGAAGGAACACAAAUUUGUGUGUUAUCAGUUGUUUAAAAUUGAUUGAAUUUGGUAAAACACAGUUUGAAGCUUGGCUAAAAUAAAAGGAAAAAUUUUCUCAUUUCCCUUUGCUUCUGUUAAUGAUAAAUCAUCCUGCCCUUUUUUAUCAAGUAAACAUAAAUCAUUAUGCUUUUGCUGAUUAAUGGGACAUAUUAGCUUUAACAUGCUUUAUUCUUUCAUCCCUUGCACUCGAACCAGGCACUCCUAACAUGAUUAUGGCACUUGCUUCAAAUUAGGCAAAUAAUUAAAUGCAUUUGAAGUUGUCGCACAAGUUAGUCUAUAUCAUUCUUUUAUUGCAUCAUAAUAUUAUAUUUUGUACAUGCUAAUCUGUAGAAACAUACAAAGAAAUAAGUGGUGGUUGUAUACAGUAGUGAGUUAUUUCAAUUAAAACAGUAUAUUCUCUUUAUAGUUUAUGAUUAGACUGGUAUAAAAAAAAUUUAAUGUAGUAUUCUGAAGUAAGCAACAGCCAUGGGGAAAGUACCAAAUAGCAAUGAAAUGCUUCAUAAAAAAGGUACGUAAACAAAGCUCUAAUUUUAUUAUCAACUGACAAUAAUAUUUUCACACGCUAACAGAAGGAUAUUUACGUUAGAAUAUAAUGCUGAGCAAUAUCUCUUUCUCCAAAGAAAAUUUCUCCAUACAUUAGUAAGGGGCAUAAAUAAUUAAUUUCAAACAUAUGCAUUUCUAGAUUGCUAUGAGUCUUCUCGAAGCUCACAUAAUAAAUAUCUAACUAGCUGGGUAACUCCAAGGAAGAGGUUGUCUUUCCUGUAAAGUAUGAAGGAUAAUUGGAGAAAGAUGGUAUAUGAUGCUUGAUACUUCCGUGCUAAUAGAAUGAGACGGUAGCACAAUAAAUUUCUCCAUUAUAUGUUUAUGUUACAAGGGGGUCCAUAUCAGGAUAGUUUCACUAGCGAGGGUUGAAUAGAUCAUUCCAAGGGAGUGACUGAAAGAAACUUUAGAUGUUACUUAUGACACACACCCACACGCACUUUUACUCUCCUUUUUAGGUCUUCUAUUCGGUUCCUACUUUUUGUUGUUUAUCUUCUAACUCUAAUCAUCCUAAAGCAUUUGCAGUGGCAGGUAAUUUGAGAGUUCAAAAGGAAAAUGAUUUGAGAUGUUCGAAGAUGGACUUCCAUCAAUUUCUCAGGUGCAAUGAUCAGAAAAGUUUUGUUACCUUAACAAUUUUCCAAUACUCUUUGCUGAAUACCUUAGCUAGACUCAAAUCAAACUAUCCAACCCAAGAGGUGCUACCAACAACUAGCUAGGAACUAGGAAGGAUGACGCGAAAGAAACAUAAGCCGUUUGGAACACUGUAAUUGUCUGCAUACUCUGUAUAUUCUGGACAAUCUUAAAGGAAUAACAACUGAUGGAUUGCGGAAC
rnacentral:lncRNA from 1 species